AUUGAACGCUGGCGGCAGGCCUAACACAUGCAAGUCGAGCGGAUGAGGGAAGCUUGCUUCCCGAUUUAGCGGCGGACGGGUGAGUAAUGCCUAGGAAUCUGCCUAUUAGUGGGGGAUAACGUUCUGAAAGGAACGCUAAUACCGCAUACGUCCUACGGGAGAAAGUGGGGGAUCUUCGGACCUCACGCUAAUAGAUGAGCCUAGGUCGGAUUAGCUAGUUGGUGGGGUAACGGCUCACCAAGGCGACGAUCCGUAGCUGGUCUGAGAGGAUGAUCAGCCACACUGGAACUGAGACACGGUCCAGACUCCUACGGGAGGCAGCAGUGGGGAAUAUUGGACAAUGGGCGAAAGCCUGAUCCAGCCAUGCCGCGUGUGUGAAGAAGGUCUUCGGAUUGUAAAGCACUUUAAGUUGGGAGGAAGAGUUGUAAGCUAAUAUCUUGCAGCUUUGACGUUACCAACAGAAUAAGCACCGGCUAACUCUGUGCCAGCCGCCGCGGUAACAC
rnacentral:rRNA from 1 species